rnacentral:rRNA from 1 species
AUUGAGUUUGAUCCUGGCUCAGGACGAACGCUGGCGGCAUGCCUAACACAUGCAAGUCGAACGGAGGUACGGCGCAAGUUGUACCUUAGUGGCGAACGGGUGAGUAACACGUGAGCAACCUGCCCUGUACAACGGGAUAACACUAAGAAAUUAGUGCUAAUACGGUAUAUGACCACACCGAGGCAUCUCGGAGAGGUAAAAGCGAAUUAGCGGUACAGGAUGGGCUCGCGUCCAAUUAGCUAGUUGGUGAGAUAACAGCCCACCAAGGCGACGAUUGGCAGCCGACUUGAGAGAGUGAUCGGCCACACUGGAACUGAGACACGGUCCAGACUCCUACGGGAGGCAGCAGUGGGGAAUAUUGGGCAAUGGAGGAAACUCUUACCCAGCAGCCGCGGUAAUAAU